AGAGUUUGAUCCUGGCUCAGAUUGAACGCUGGCGGCAGGCUUAACACAUGCAAGUCGAACGGUAGCAGGAAGAAAGCUUGCUUUCUUUGCUGACGAGUGGCGGACGGGUGAGUAAUGCUUGGGAAUCUGGCUUAUGGAGGGGGAUAACUGUGGGAAACUGCAGCUAAUACCGCGUAUUCUCUGAGGAGGAAAGGGUGGGACCUUAGGGCCACCUGCCAUAAGAUGAGCCCAAGUGGGAUUAGGUAGUUGGUGGGGUAAAGGCCUACCAAGCCUGCGAUCUCUAGCUGGUCUGAGAGGAUGACCAGCCACACUGGAACUGAGACACGGUCCAGACUCCUACGGGAGGCAGCAGUGGGGAAUAUUGCGCAAUGGGGGGAACCCUGACGCAGCCAUGCCGCGUGAAUGAAGAAGGCCUUCGGGUUGUAAAGUUCUUUCGGUAAUGAGGAAGGGAUGUUAUUAAAUAGAUAGCAUCAUUGACGUUAAUUACAGAAGAAGCACCGGCUAACUCCGUGCCAGCAGCCGCGGUAAUACGGAGGGUGCGAGCGUUAAUCGGAAUAACUGGGCGUAAAGGGCACGCAGGCGGACUUUUAAGUGAGAUGUGAAAUCCCCGAGCUUAACUUGGGAACUGCAUUUCAGACUGGGAGUCUAGAGUACUUUAGGGAGGGGUAGAAUUCCACGUGUAGCGGUGAAAUGCGUAGAGAUGUGGAGGAAUACCGAAGGCGAAGGCAGCCCCUUGGGAAUGUACUGACGCUCAUGUGCGAAAGCGUGGGGAGCAAACAGGAUUAGAUACCCUGGUAGUCCACGCUGUAAACGCUGUCGAUUUGGGGAUUGGGCUAUAUGCUUGGUGCCCGAAGCUAACGUGAUAAAUCGACCGCCUGGGGGAGUACGGCCGCAAGGUUAAAACUCAAAGGAAUUGACGG
rnacentral:rRNA from 1 species